CCUAUAGCUUGGUUAUUUUGAGGAUGUUAUUUAAGUGGAAUCAUAUAUUGUUUAACUUUUAGGGAUUGGCUUUUUUCACUCAGCAUAAAUUGCUUGAGAUUUAUUCAAGUGAUGAUUGCAUAUAUCAAUAAUUUGUGCCUUUUUGCUGCUGAGUAAUAUUCCAUGAUAUGGGUGUACCAAAGUUUAGCUAUAUACUCAGUGAAGGAUAUCUGAGUUGUUUCCGCUUUGUGUAUACUGCACAAAGCUAUUACAGACAUUUGUGCAGAGGUUUCUUGUUUGUUUGUUUGUUUUAGACAGAGUUUUGAUUUCUUUCCCAGGCUGAAGUGCAAGGGUGCAACCUCUGCUCACUGCAACUUCCACCUCCCAGGUACAAGCAAUUCUGUCUCAGCCUCUCGAGUAGCUGAGAUUAGAGUCUUUCUCCUUCCUGAUUUUGAAAUGGGAGAGUUUCAUUAUCCCCUUCACUGGACAUGCAGAAGGGAUGUGACUUGCUUCUUUGGUGCCCAGCUGCUCAGUCCCUAG
rnacentral:lncRNA from 1 species